UAUAGUUCUUCGGAAUUAGAGACCGGCGCACGGGUGCGUAACGCGUAUGCAAUCUACCUUUCACAGAGGGAUAGCCCAGAGAAAUUUGGAUUAAUACCUCAUAGUAUAGCAGUUUCGCAUGAAACCACUAUUAAAGUCACAACGGUGAAAGAUGAGCAUGCGUCCCAUUAGCUAGUUGGUAAGGUAACGGCUUACCAAGGCAACGAUGGGUAGGGGUCCUGAGAGGGAGAUCCCCCACACUGGUACUGAGACACGGACCAGACUCCUACGGGAGGCAGCAGUGAGGAAUAUUGGACAAUGGGCGCAAGCCUGAUCCAGCCAUGCCGCGUGCAGGAUGACGGUCCUAUGGAUUGUAAACUGCUUUUAUACGAGAAGAAACCCUCCGACGUGUCGGAGCUUGACGGUAUCGUAAGAAUAAGGAUCGGCUAACUCCGUGCCAGCAGCCGCGGUAAUACGGAGGAUCCAAGCGUUAUCCGGAAUCAUUGGGUUUAAAGGGUCCGUAGGCGGUCAGGUAAGUCAGUGGUGAAAGCCCAUCGCUCAACGGUGGAACGGCCAUUGAUACUGUCUGACUUGAAUUAUUAGGAAGUAACUAGAAUAUGUAGUGUAGCGGUGAAAUGCUUAGAGAUUACAUGGAAUACCAAUUGCGAAGGCAGGUUACUACUAAUGGAUUGACGCUGAUGGACGAAAGCGU
rnacentral:rRNA from 1 species